rnacentral:rRNA from 1 species
UACGUAGGGGGCAAGCGUUGUCCGGAAUCAUUGGGCGUAAAGCGCGUGUAGGCGGCCAGAUAAGUCCGCUGUGAAAUCUCGAGGCUCAACUUCGAGCUGUCGGUGGAAACUGUCCGGCUAGAGUCCGGAAGAGGAGAAUGGAAUUCCUGGUGUAGCGGUGAAAUGCGCAGAUAUCAGGAAGAACACCCGUGGCGAAGGCGGUUCUCUGGGACGGUACUGACGCUGAGACGCGAAAGCGUGGGGAGCGAACAGG